rnacentral:rRNA from 2 species
UACAGGGGGUGCAAACGUUGCUCGGAAUUAUUGGGCGUAAAGCGCACGUAGGCGGUUUGUUAUGUCGGAUGUGAAAGCCCUUGGCUCAACUGAGGAAGUGCAUCCGAAACUGGCAAGCUAGAGUAUGUAAGAGGGUCGCGGAAUUCCCGGUGUAGAGGUGAAAUUCGUAGAUAUCGGGAGGAACACCGGUGGCGAAGGCGGCGACCUGGGACAAUACUGACGCUGAGGUGCGAAAGCGUGGGGAGCAAACAGG